GAUUGAACGCUGGCGGCAUGCCUUACACAUGCAAGUCGAACGGCAGCACGGGGGCAACCCUGGUGGCGAGUGGCGAACGGGUGAGUAAUACAUCGGAACGUGUCCUGUAGUGGGGGAUAGCCCGGCGAAAGCCGGAUUAAUACCGCAUACGCUCUACGGAGGAAAGGGGGGGAUCUUAGGACCUCUCGCUACAGGGGCGGCCGAUGGCAGAUUAGCUAGUUGGUGGGGUAAAGGCCUACCAAGGCGACGAUCUGUAGCUGGUCUGAGAGGACGACCAGCCACACUGGGACUGAGACACGGCCCAGACUCCUACGGGAGGCAGCAGUGGGGAAUUUUGGACAAUGGGCGCAAGCCUGAUCCAGCAAUGCCGCGUGUGUGAAGAAGGCCUUCGGGUUGUAAAGCACUUUUGUCCGGAAAGAAAUCCUUUGGCCUAAUACGUCGGGGGGAUGACGGUACCGGAAGAAUAAGCACCGGCUAACUACGUGCCAGCAGCCGCGGUAAUACGUAGGGUGCAAGCGUUAAUCGGAAUUACUGGGCGUAAAGCGUGCGCAGGCGGUUCGCUAAGACAGAUGUGAAAUCCCCGGGCUUAACCUGGGAACUGCAUUUGUGACUGGCGGGCUAGAGUAUGGCAGAGGGGGGUAGAAUUCCACGUGUAGCAGUGAAAUGCGUAGAGAUGUGGAGGAAUACCGAUGGCGAAGGCAGCCCCCUGGGCCAAUACUGACGCUCAUGCACGAAAGCGUGGGGAGCAAACAGGAUUAGAUACCCUGGUAGUCCACGCCCUAAACGAUGUCAACUAGUUGUCGGGUCUUCAUUGACUUGGUAACGUAGCUAACGCGUGAAGUUGACCGCCUGGGGAGUACGGUCGCAAGAUUAA
rnacentral:rRNA from 1 species